AGUGAACGCUGGCGGUAGGCCUAACACAUGCAAGUCGAACGGCAGCACAGUAAGAGCUUGCUCUUACGGGUGGCGAGUGGCGGGCGGGUGAGGAAUACAUCGGAAUCUACUUUUUCGUGGGGGAUAACGUAGGGAAACUUACGCUAAUACCGCAUACGACCUACGGGUGAAAGCAGGGGAUCUUCGGACCUUGCGCGAUUGAAUGAGCCGAUGUCGGAUUAGCUAGUUGGCGGGGUAAAGGCCCACCAAGGCGACGAUCCGUAGCUGGUCUGAGAGGAUGACCACCACCAUGGGACUUGAGACACGUCCCAGACCCCACGGGAAGGAGCCAUGGGGGAAUAUUGGACAAUGGGCGCAAGCCUGAUCCAGCCAUACCGCGUGGGUGAAGAAGGCCUUCGGGUUGUAAAGCCCUUUUGUUGGGAAAGAAAAGCAGCAGGUUAAUACCCCGCUGUUCUGACGGUACCCAAAGAAUAAGCACCGGCUAACUUCGUG
rnacentral:rRNA from 1 species